GAGUUUGAUCCUGGCUCAGAACGAACGCUGGCGGCAGGCCUAACACAUGCAAGUCGAACGAAGUCUUCGGACUUAGUGGCGGACGGGUUAGUAACGCGUGGGAACGUGCCCUUUACUUCGGAAUAGUCCCGGGAAACUGGGUUUAAUACCGAAUACGCCCUUCGGGGGAAAGAUUUAUCGGUAAAGGAUCGGCCCGCGUUGGAUUAGGUAGUUGGUGGGGUAAUGGCCUACCAAGCCGACGAUCCAUAGCUGGUUUGAGAGGAUGAUCAGCAACACUGGGACUGAGACACGGCCCAGACUCCUACGGGAGGCAGCAGUGGGGAAUCUUAGACAAUGGGGGCAACCCUGAUCUAGCCAUGCCGCGUGAGUGAAGAAGGCCUUAGGGUCGUAAAGCUCUUUCGCCAGGGAUGAUAAUGACAGUACCUGGUAAAGAAACCCCGGCUAACUCCGUGCCAGCAGCCGCGGUAAUACGGAGGGGGUUAGCGUUGUUCGGAAUUACUGGGCGUAAAGCGCACGUAGGCGGACUUGAAAGUUGGGGGUGAAAUCCCGGGGCUCAACCUCGGAACUGCCUUCAAAACUCCAAGUCUAGAGUUCGAGAGAGGUGAGUGGAAUUCCGAGUGUAGAGGUGAAAUUCGUAGAUAUUCGGAGGAACACCAGUGGCGAAGGCGGCUCACUGGCUCGAUACUGACGCUGAGGUGCGAAAGUGUGGGGAGCAAACAGGAUUAGAUACCCUGGUAGUCCACACCGUAAACGAUGAAUGCCAGUCGUCGGGUAGCAUGCUGCUCGGUGACACACCUAACGGAUUAAGCAUUCCGCCUGGGGAGUACGGUCGCAAGAUUAAAACUCAAGGGAAUUGACGGGGGCCCGCACAAGCGGUGGAGCAUGUGGUUUAAUUCGAAGCAACGCGCAGAACCUUACCAACCCUUGACAUCCUGUGCCGCGUCCAGAGAUGGACCGUUCCCUUCGGGGACGCAGUGACAGGUGCUGCAUGGCUGUCGUCAGCUCGUGUCGUGAGAUGUUCGGUUAAGUCCGGCAACGAGCGCAACCCACAUCCUUAGUUGCCAGCAUUCAGUUGGGCACUCUAAGGAAACUGCCCGUGAUAAGCGGGAGGAAGGUGUGGAUGACGUCAAGUCCUCAUGGCCCUUACGGGUUGGGCUACACACGUGCUACAAGGGCAGUGACAAUGGGUUAAUCCCAAAAAGCUGUCUCAGUUCGGAUUGUUCUCUGCAACUCGAGAGCAUGAAGUCGGAAUCGCUAGUAAUCGCGUAACAGCAUGACGCGGUGAAUACGUUCCCGGGCCUUGUACACACCGCCCGUCACACCAUGGGAGUUGGGUUUACCCGAAGGCGGUGCGCCAACCUUUUGGAGGCAGCCGACCACGGUAAGCUCAGCGACUGGGGUGAAGUCGUAACAAGGUAGCCGU
rnacentral:rRNA from 1 species